UUAGAGUUUGAUCCUGGCUCAGGAUGAACGCUAGCUACAGGCUUAACACAUGCAAGUCGAGGGGCAUCAGGAAGAAAGCUUGCUUUCUUCGCUGGCGACCGGCGCACGGGUGAGUAACACGUAUCCAACCUGCCCUUUACUCGGGGAUAGCCUUUCGAAAGAAAGAUUAAUACCCGAUAGCAUAAUGAUUCCGCAUGGUUUCAUUAUUAAAGGAUUCCGGUAAAGGAUGGGGAUGCGUUCCAUUAGGUUGUUGGUGAGGUAACGGCCCACCAAGCCUUCGAUGGAUAGGGGUUCUGAGAGGAAGGUCCCCCACAUUGGAACUGAGACACGGUCCAAACUCCUACGGGAGGCAGCAGUGAGGAAUAUUGGUCAAUGGGCGCUAGCCUGAACCAGCCAAGUAGCGUGAAGGAUGAAGGCUCUAUGGGUCGUAAACUUCUUUUAUAUAAGAAUAAAGUGCAGUAUGUAUACUGUUUUGUAUGUAUUAUAUGAAUAAGGAUCGGCUAACUCCGUGCCAGCAGCCGCGGUAAUACGGAGGAUCCGAGCGUUAUCCGGAUUUAUUGGGUUUAAGGGGAGCGUAGGCGGAUUGUUAAGUCAGUUGUGAAAGUUUGCGGCUCAACCGUAAAAUUGCAGUUGAUACUGGCAGUCUUGAGUGCAGUAGAGGUGGGCGGAAUUCGUGGUGUAGCGGUGAAAUGCUUAGAUAUCACGAAGAACUCCGAUUGCGAAGGCAGCUCACUGGAGUGUAACUGACGCUGAUGCUCGAAAGUGUGGGUAUCAAACAGGAUUAGAUACCCUGGUAGUCCACACAGUAAACGAUGAGUACUCGCUGUUUGCGAUAUACAGUAAGCGGCCAAGCGAAAGCAUUAAGUAUUCCACCUGGGGAGUACGCCGGCAACGGUGAA
rnacentral:rRNA from 1 species